AAGAUUUUGAAUUUUAUCUCCCAUUUUAAUCAAUCCAUACCUUGCCAAAUAUAACAAAAUAGGGGCAUGAUUGAACCCAUACCUUGCCAAAUGUUGCAAAGGGUAUUUAGGGAAAAGUGGCAUCCAUUAUGGUGUAAAUAGAAAUAUCACAAAGUGUUCCCGAAUAUUUUCCUAACUAAAAUCCACCGAUCCACAUAAAUCCAUAGCUGUUUAAAAGG
rnacentral:lncRNA from 1 species